rnacentral:rRNA from 1 species
AAAGGGUGCGUAGGCGGCCUGUUAAGUCAGGGGUGAAAGACGGUAGCUCAACUAUCGCAGUGCCCUUGAUACUGACGGGCUUGAAUGGACUAGAGGUAGGCGGAAUGUGACAAGUAGCGGUGAAAUGCAUAGAUAUGUCACAGAACACCGAUUGCGAAGGCAGCUUACUAUGGUUUUAUUGACGCUGAGGCACGAAAGCGUGGGGAUCAAACAGGAUUAGAUACCCCUGU